rnacentral:rRNA from 1 species
GAUGAACGCUAGCUACAGGCUUAACACAUGCAAGUCGAGGGGUAACGAGAGGAAAGCUUGCUUUCCUUGUCGACGACCGGCGCACGGGUGAGUAACGCGUAUCCAACCUGCCCCCAACUAGGGAAUAACCUUGCGAAAGUAAGACUAAUACCCUAUAAUUUCCUCAGAUGUCAUAUGACGAGGAAUAAAGAUUUAUCGGUUGUGGAUGGGGAUGCGUCUGAUUAGCUUGUUGGCGGGGUAACGGCCCACCAAGGCAACGAUCAGUAGGGGUUCUGAGAGGAAGGUCCCCCACAUUGGAACUGAGACACGUUCCAAACUCCUACGGGAGGCAGCAGUGAGGAAUAUUGGUCAAUGGGCGAAAGCCUGAACCAGCCAAGUAGCGUGCAGGAUGACGGCCCUAUGGGUUGUAAACUGCUUUUAUACAGGAAUAAAGUUAGCCACGUGUGGUUAUUUGUAGGUACUGUAUGAAUAAGGACCGGCUAAUUCCGUGCCAGCCGCCGCAGUAA